UACGUAGGGUGCGAGCGUUGUCCGGAAUCAUUGGGCGUAAAGCGCACGUAGGCGGUUCGUCGCGUCGGCUGUGAAAUCCCGAGGCUCAACCUCGGGUCUGCAGUCGAUACGGGCGGACUGGAGUUCGGCAGGGGAGACUGGAAUUCCUGGUGUAGCGGUGAAAUGCGCAGAUAUCAGGAGGAACACCGGUGGCGAAGGCGGGUCUCUGGGCCGAUACUGACGCUGAGGAGCGAAAGCGUGGGGAGCGAACAGG
rnacentral:rRNA from 1 species